CUCUCCCUCGUUCUCAAGCUCGCGCGCGAACGCGCCGCCGAAAAAUCCCGAGAUGCAGGACUGGCCCAUCGGACGCAGGUGAUAGCUGCCGGUGCCGACGCGAUCGAGCGCGCCAUAAAGAUGCCCGUCGCUCGGCAGGGCUUCNGCGCCAGCAUCACCUUGUCCGCAAGGCCGAGCGGCAGGCCCGUGGCGGCGUUCACCUUGUC
rnacentral:misc_RNA from 1 species